UAUUGAUCCUCUGGUCACAAUUGAACAUUCAUGUUUUGAUUGGAUGUCAACUCUAUGAAAGAUGAAAUAUAUUGUUGUUUUUAUUAACCCAUUAGAACACGAUACGUGACAGUAAUGUGAC
rfam:Glycine soja cultivar W05 scaffold4395_52, whole genome shotgun sequence.